CUUGAGACAGAAAAUAUUUGACCAUAGAAAAUAUUUAGCUUGAUGUGCCGAGAGAGUUUUCAUUACUAGUUUCAAUGCAAAUGAAUUACAAUGAGAAAUGACUGGCACCAUGCUGAUGUGAGGUACAGGCUGUAAAAACCUCUCUCAAGUAUAGUAUUUGUAGUUUUAGUGCCACCCACGCGAUCGUUUAUCGCGCGCAAAACAUGCUAAACUUUGGAACAUUAUGAAAUAGAUUCACCCAGAUAUAAUCUUUACCCCAAAAAUACUAUUAACGUUAAGUUUCCUCUUGCCUGCCAACAUGUACUUCUACAUUUUUAGCUUAUUAUCAAGCCUACUUGUGCUACUAAUCUUAAUUGCUUUUCCACCCCUCCUUUACUAUUGCUAUUAUAGCUAGCGUUUAAAAUAACUUGUAAUUUCGCUUGGCGCUCUUAUAUAUAUAUAUAUAUAUAAAAACGAAAACUAUUGAAAUCACCGAUAACAAUUUAAUUGUUAGAAUUUGAAUGCCUUAGUGCUCUGUUGGUUCCCACGAGUGCAUAAAUGAUUGACAUAAGUAAAUUUUAUGCAUAAAGAAACUGUUUAAGAAACUGUUUUUAAUUCCCAGGAGCAGAAAAUCGCGCACUUUACCAGGAGAUAUUCCUAACUAAAUUCUAAUACAUGCACCUUGUCAAUAUUUACGCAUCAUUACGUCCAGCUGUUUGGUAGGGCAUUCAAAUUUAACAAUAAGUUAUUUCAAUAGUUUUCGGGUUUUUUGGGACACCCUGUAUAUCGAUACGCACAAUUCAUUCGAGAGAAUUGGAACAUAGCACUACGCACUGGGGAAACAUUAAAUAUAUUAAGAAAGAUAUAUGUAUUGAAGUUUUACUUGUUGUGAAUCUAAUCAAGCUGUCCCCCUAACGGCCUCGACGAUCCCGCGUGUUGCUAUAUAAUAACAACAACUAAAGAGGUCGUUUUACAAUAUGCGGAAUUAUCAAAGUCUCGGUACUGAGCGCUACCGAGACCUUGAUAAUUUUGCAUAUCGCAAAAAUCGAAUUCAAUAAUUGUUUUAUUAUACAUUUGUUUGUGUUACAGUCAAAAUACAAGAACCUUCCCGCUUCUGUAACUUGUUUUGUAUUUAUUUGUUCUAUUUUCUGUAGCGAUUACCGCUUUAUCGGCACAUAUCGCGUUAGGAUCCGGUAGAAUUUCGCUUUUCUUCCUUUAUAUACGUAGCAACCUUUCGUUAGAUUCUUUGCAUAAAAGUUGCGAAACUUAGAUCUUAUAGCGAUAUUUGCUGAUAAAUCGGUUUUAAACCGCCGCCUAGUGUGUUCAUACUAUACAAAUUUAAAGUUACCGAAUACAAUCAUUUGACGUACUAAAAUGAAAAUUUCACAACUUUUAUGCAAAGAAUCUAACGAAAGGUGUAUCCUUUGCUACAAAUCGACGUAUAUGAAGGAAAGAAAGGGGAAUUCUACCGCGAUAUUUGCCGAUAAAAAAUGCAACAGAAAAUAGAACAAAUAACAGAAAUACAAAACGUCAAGUUACAGAAGCGGAAGUGGGAAUGUUUUGGAAUGUUCUUGCAUUUUGACUGUAAAUAGAUACCGCUUGCUAAUUAUCGCAGGUUCACUUGCAGAUAACUGAGUUAUCUGCUAGCAGAUAACUGAAUUCUCUGUAGGUUGCGUGAUUGUGCGAUUUAACUGUAAGCUCUUAGCCAAUCAAAUUGCUUUUACCAGCUACAAUGCAUAAUAAUAAUAAUAAUAAUAAUAAUGCCAUAUGUUUUUGUUCAUACACCAGGGCGCAAACACUGGAUUGGUUCUUAAAUUAUCUUCUUCGUCUGGCAAGAUUUGGAUCACCAGUACAAGC
rnacentral:lncRNA from 1 species